UACGUAGGGUGCGAGCGUUGUCCGGAAUUAUUGGGCGUAAAGAGCUCGUAGGCGGUGUGUCGCGUCGGUCGUGAAAACUUGGGGCUUAACUCUGAGCUUGCGGUCGAUACGGGCAUCACUGGAGUUCGGCAGGGGAGACUGGAAUUCCUGGUGUAGCGGUGAAAUGCGCAGAUAAUCAGGAGGAACACCGAUGCGAAGGGCAGGUCUCUGG
rnacentral:rRNA from 1 species